CGCGUGGGAACGUACCCUUUACUACGGAAUAACUCAGGGAAACUUGUGCUAAUACCGUAUGUGCCCUUCGGGGGAAAGAUUUAUCGGUAAAGGAUCGGCCCGCGUUGGAUUAGCUAGUUGGUGGGGUAAAGGCCUACCAAGGCGACGAUCCAUAGCUGGUCUGAGAGGAUGAUCAGCCACAUUGGGACUGAGACACGGCCCAGACUCCUACGGGAGGCAGCAGUGGGGAAUAUUGGACAAUGGGCGCAAGCCUGAUCCAGCCAUGCCGCGUGAGUGAUGAAGGCCCUAGGGUUGUAAAGCUCUUUCACCGGUGAAGAUAAUGACGGUAACCGGAGAAGAAGCCCCGGCUAACUUCGUG
rnacentral:rRNA from 1 species